UUCCAGACUCCUACGGGAGGCAGCAGUGGGGAAUAUUGCGCAAUGGGGGAAACCCUGAUGCAGCGACGCCGCGUGAGCGAUGAAGUAUUUCGGUAUGUAAAGCUCUAUCAGCAGGGAAGAAAAUGACGGUACCUGACUAAGAAGCCCCGGCUAACUACGUGCCAGCAGCCGCGGUAAUACGUAGGGGGCAAGCGUUAUCCGGAUUUACUGGGUGUAAAGGGAGCGUAGACGGCAAUGCAAGCCAGAUGUGAAAGCCCGGGGCUCAACCCCGGGACUGCAUUUGGAACUGUGUAGCUGGAGUGUCGGAGAGGCAGGCGGAAUUCCUAGUGUAGCGGUGAAAUGCGUAGAUAUUAGGUGGAACACCAGUGGCGAAGGCGGCCUGCUGGACGAUGACUGACGUUGAGGCUCGAAAGCGUGGGGAGCAAACAGGAUUAGAUACCCGCGUACU
rnacentral:rRNA from 1 species